rnacentral:tRNA from 1 species
AAGCAAGAAACCUAAGGUGGUAUGGUUUCGGCCCAUAUAGCGGUAAAAAUUACCCUUGCUUU